GAGGAACGCUUUCGGCGUGCUUAACACAUGCAGGCCGAACGAGAAGUGGAGACGGAAACCUUCGCCCGGAAGGCUGUAACUCUAGUUCCGGACGGGCUAGUCACUCGCGGGCAACCUCCCUCAGACAGGGGUAUAGCAGUGGGAAACGAGUGUUACUCCGGCAUAGGACCACAGCUCCCGAUGCUGCUGGGGUCAAAACUCAGGUGGGAUGGGAUGGACCCCCGUUCGAUUAGACAGUUGGCGGGGUAACGGCCCACCAAAGCGACGAUCGAUAGCCGAUCUGAGAGGAUGACCGGCCACAUUGGGAAUGAGGAACGGGGCAAACUCCUACGGGAGGCAGCAGUGGGGAAUAGUGGACAAUGGGGGAAACCCUGAUGCAGCGACGCCGCGUGAGUGAAGAAGUAUUUCGGUAUGUAAAGCUCUAUCAGCAGGGAAGAAAAUGACGUUACCUGAGCAAGAAGCCACGGCUAACUCCGUG
rnacentral:rRNA from 1 species